rnacentral:antisense_RNA from 1 species
ACGACUGGAAUCACACAUACACUGCCACAAGAGGUCUGCAGUGAAGGUCCCAAAGUCCCAGACAACGGAGUCUCUCUCUGUCGCCCAGGGUAGAGUGCAGUGGUGCAAUCCUGGCUCACUGCAACCUCUGCCUCCCAGGUUCAAGUGAUUCUCCUGCCUCAGCUUCCCGAGUAGCUGGGACUACAGGCGUGUGCCACCACGCCCAGGAUCUUUCUGCUGAUGCAGCUGUUAAGAGUGUUUCAUAAACUGUGACAACACUGAGCAAAAUCAUAGAAGGAAACUCUAUGGACAAUUUCAGAUGGAGAAGAAGAAAGGACUGGAAGUUCAAUUUGGCCAUGACAAUUAGACUUGAAGAAGCUGAGUGAGAAGGCCAUGCAGAUAUCUUGGAGAAGUGCAUUCCAGGCAGAGGAAAAGCCAGUGCAGAGACACUGAAGCAGGGCAUGACUGAUGUGUAUAAGGAGCAUCAUAUACAUGAUCAUCUACAGUCCACUGAGAAUAGCAGACGAAAGGCCAGGUGCAGUGCAUGUAAUCCCAGCACUUUGGGAGACUGAGAUGGGAAGAUCGCUUGAGGCCAGGAGUGCAAGACCAGCCUGGGCAACACAGCAAGACCUUGACUCUACUAAAAAAAAAAAAGGAUCCUUCAACUUCAACAAUAAUAACACGAGGGAAGUGAAGAAAAACACUUUCUAAGGAAAUCUCUCUCUGAGCUACCAUCCUGCUAGGGAGAGCCUGAAAGCAGAAUGCUGACUUGACUAGCUCUGGUCAAUGAAAGAAAUCACUAGUGGAAAGGCUACCAGGGGGCUUUCUCAAAAGAGAGGGACAGU